AACGCAUAUUGCGCUCGAGGCUUCGGCCAAGAGCAUGUCUGCCUCAGCGUCGGUUUGUCCACUCAAUAACGGACAUGUUUUCUCGAGCGAGCCCUGGCUUCGGUUGGGUGCUUGAUCGGAGGUGACCUUCCCAGGAGCGCUUGUCUCCUGGGUCGGUUGAAGUGCAGAAGUAUGCGCACACCCUACCUUCACGGGUGGGUCACAGCUGGAUUGGCAUCAUGAUAUGUUGCACAUAGCUGUCGUCUCACGAGGGGUGUGGCUGCUGAACCGCAGGACAGUGUGGGUGGUGGGUACCCCCUUCUUUCCUCUCACUUGCCCACGCGCCACCCAUCUGCCCGCCUUUUCCAUCUCGACCUGAGCUCAGGCAAGACCACCCGCUGAACUUAA
rnacentral:misc_RNA from 1 species